GUGCCAUCCGCCGCGGUAAUACGUAGGUGGCAAGCGUUGUCCGGAAUUAUUGGGCGUAAAGCGCGCGCAGGCGGCUUCCUAAGUCUGAUGUGAAAGCCCACGGCUCAACCGUGGAGGGUCAUUGGAAACUGGGAGGCUUGAGUGCAGAAGAGGAGAGUGGAAUUCCACGUGUAGCGGUGAAAUGCGUAGAGAUGUGGAGGAACACCAGUGGCGAAGGCGACUCUCUGGUCUGUAACUGACGCUGAGGCGCGAAAGCGUGGGGAGCGAACAGGAUUAGAUACCCGAGUAGUCC
rnacentral:rRNA from 1 species